rnacentral:rRNA from 1 species
AUUGAACGCUAGCGGGAUGCCUUACACAUGCAAGUCGAACGGCAGCAUAAGAGAGCUUGCUCUCUUGAUGGCGAGUGGCGAACGGGUGAGUAAUGUAUCGGAACGUGCCCAGUAGCGGGGGAUAACUACGCGAAAGCGUAGCUAAUACCGCAUACGCCCUACGGGGGAAAGGAGGGGAUCUGCAAGGACCUUUCACUAUUGGAGCGGCCGAUAUCGGAUUAGCUAGUUGGUGAGGUAACGGCUCACCAAGGCGACGAUCCGUAGCUGGUUUGAGAGGACUAUCCCCCACACUGGUACUGAGAUACGGUCCAA